rnacentral:lncRNA from 1 species
AUAUUUUCAAGAGCUGGCAGUUUUGAAAAUAACUAGAAAUAAAUGAAAAUAAUUACUCACCCUUCAUUUUUUUUUAAAUUAUUCCUUCCUCUUGUAAAUAAAUGGUUUGUAUAGAAAACUCUCCACACAUUUUAAUGCGGACGUAAAUAAAUAAAUGAGAUCAUGGUUCUAUGAUUGACUAUAAAUAAAAAAUGUUUUCCCAGUAAUAAAUAAGUAUUAUUGGAAAAUAAUUUUUGAAAAAAGAUUACAUGAACUUUCAUGUCCGGAGAGGUGUGCCUGGAAAUAUUUUCAAAUCUGACAGUUUUGAAAAUAACCAGAAAUAAAUGAGAAAUAAUUUUUUAUAUUUAAUAAAUGGCAUGUAUAUAACUAAAUAAAUAAAACUAUGUUUCUAACAUUAUUAGGAUCCAUUUUCUGAACUAUCAUGUGACUCGUCAGAUAACUAGAAAUGAAUUAAAAUUUUAUUUUCUCCUUGAACUAAUAAAAAAGUGGGGAAUAAUAAUUCCAGGUAGACAAAAUGGCUCCCGCACCCCCUUCCACUGUCUCUGAUUGGUCCCAUCACGAUCUGAAGAUGCGAUCACCGCCGUCCAUCCUCCCCGUGGAAGAGCGACAAGUACAGCAGAAUGAUGGUCCCAACGCUGGACCUGCAUCAGAAGACAUCAGACGGUCCGUCCCACGUGGACCGGCACGAUCACACGGUCAGGAUGGGGUUCCCUUCAGCCAGCUGGGUCCGGCCCAAUGGGCCGUCUAUCCAGAUAUUAUAAACGGGCUUCUCACUUGGCCCAAUCGUCUCGUCGUGACGAACUGGAUAAGCCCUCUGUGUUGUUGCCACGUGGCACAUAUUAUCUUCCUCUUCCUAUCGGCUUUUCCCAUGGGGUUGUGCCACGUGGCGCGGACCCACCUACAAAUCUAGUAUUCUCUUUGGGGUUGGCGUAUUAUCUCGUAGAUAUAAAAUUAUCUAAAAAAGAUUGACUCUUUGAUUCAAUAAUCAAUGACUGUGUAGAAUAUAAUUACUUUUCCAGAAAUUAAAAAAGGCAGGCAAAUAAUUCCGUCCAAUAAUGGGAUAGAAAAUGAAAAAACCAUAAAAUAAAGAAUAUACCAAAAUAGCUUCCUCUUCCUCUCGGUUUGAUCUUCUCGUUAUAUAAUAAUUAAUUUCCAGAAAUUAAAAAGGUAGGCAAAUAAUUCCGUCCAAUAAUAUCAUAAGAUAAACAUGCCAAAUUAUCUAAAAUAAAUUAGAUACCACAAAUAAUAAGUUCCUCUAAGCUGAUUUUCUUUUUACAAUAUAUAUAUAUCUUUUUACAAUAUAUAUCUAUAUAUAUAUAUAUAUCUUUUCUCUCUCACUAGGAUCUGUAACUAAGGAGGUAGCUCAGACAAGGUUAGUAAUCAAUCAUGUUUGAAUGCAAGAUUUCAAUUUUCAGAAAAUCCAGGGUAUUUUAGUGAAAACGAGGACUUACAAAGUGGCGAACAAGAGGAGCACCAUCCGUGGGUCCCCGCCGGCACCGGCGCCGGCGCCUCUCCGGCAGCGGUGUCCCCUUCCGCCGUUCGCCUUCCAGGGCGCAGCUUCCGGCGGCCCGCCGACUGGGGGGAUGGCCACCGCGACGAACUUCUCCGCCACUUCGCCGCAGCCGCCCCCAGGCGGCGCCACCUUGGAGGGAGAGGAGAGAGAAAACAGAGCUUCUGGCCCUUCGCCGUCGCCCUCCGCCGCCGCCGCCGCGUUCUUCUUCUGCGGCUUCUGCAACUGAGAGAAGAAGACGUGGGUGAGGAAGAUGGAGAGACGACGAGGAAUGAAGAGUCCUCUGAAACUUACCGGCAUUCCUCAGCAGCGCUCACAGAGAGAUUGAGAGAGAAAGAGGGUGGAGAGAGAGUGAGUGAGUGAGAGAGAGAGAGAGAGAGAGAGAGAGAG